UACGUAGGUGGCAAGCGUUGUCCGGAUUUACUGGGCGUAAAGAGCGCGCAGGCGGUCGACCAAGUCGCGUGUGAAAGCCCCCGGCUCAACUGGGGAGGGUCACGCGAUACUGAUCGACUCGAAGGCAGGAGAGGGUAGUGGAAUUCCCGGUGUAGUGGUGAAAUGCGCAGAUAUCAGGAGGAACACCUAUUGCGAAGGCAGCUCGCUGGGACGUAACUGACGCUGAGACGCGAAAGCGUGGGGAGCAAACAGG
rnacentral:rRNA from 1 species